GUUAGUAGGGUGGGGUUGUGGGCGUGCGGCCGUUGGCGCUGUCUCUGCUCGUCUCCCCUGCCUGCAGUGCGCUGCGUUUCACAGGGCGAUUUUGCCUCUUCGUAGCCCGACGGGAGACUUUAAGCACCAAUCCAGGAAGCCCCUUGCGGAGCCGAGCCCCAGCUGCCUCCCUUCCUUGUGAGGUUGGGGCUGGUGAAAUGCAGCCCCUGGCCGCGUGCUGAAUUACGAUUAUGGAGCUGCCUGAGGUCAUGGAUGAGGUCUCUUGCGACAGCUGAGCUGCAGUCAGGUCAUGCACUUGAACUAUCCCCUUCAUUGUCAGCCAAAUACGUACAGAUCUUCAUUUCGGACCGCUGGGAAUUUGGAAUCCAAGUAAUGUAGAGGUCUG